GCCCUGGUGGCGAAUGGUAUCGCGCCCGCACGCUGUUACAAUGCCGAAUAAGGAUGGAGCGGGAGAGGCUGGUUCGAAUCCGGCACGGGGCA